GACGACCCCAUGUCUUGCCAUUGUCCGCCCAGACUGACCAAACAAGUUUGCUAAGUCAAAGAAGUUCUUUGGCUAAGCGAGGACAGUCGUAAUAAUGGAUACAGCUCCUUUGCCAAAAGAGGGAUUACAUGAUAGUUCAAAAUUAUCAGAUUUUUAUAACUGCUAGAAAUUCCCGAAGAUGCUGUUAAUGUCCUAAAAGGGUAAAGGCAAAGCAAGUAUUUUAGCAUCAGGCUGUUAUUUGAAAAAAAAAAAAAAAAAAAAAAAAAAAA